rnacentral:rRNA from 2 species
UGGCGGACGGGUGAGUAACACGUGGGUAACCUGCCCUUAAGUGGGGGAUAACAUUUGGAAACAGAUGCUAAUACCGCAUAGAUCCAAGAACCGCAUGGUUCUUGGCUGAAAGAUGGCGUAAGCUAUCGCUUUUGGAUGGACCCGCGGCGUAUUAGCUAGUUGGUGAGGUAAUGGCUCACCAAGGCGAUGAUACGUAGCCGAACUGAGAGGUUGAUCGGCCACAUUGGGACUGAGACACGGCCCAAACUCCUACGGGAGGCAGCAGUAGGGAAUCUUCCACAAUGGACGCAAGUCUGAUGGAGCAACGCCGCGUGAGUGAAGAAGGCUUUCGGGUCGUAAAACUCUGUUGUUGGAGAAGAAUGGUCGGCAGAGUAACUGUUGUCGGCGUGACGGUAUCCAACCAGAAAGCCACG